rnacentral:rRNA from 1 species
CGCGUAGGUGGUUUGUUAAGUUGGAUGUGAAAGCUCCGGGCUCAACCUGGGAACUGCAUCCAAAACUGGCAAGCUAGAGUACGGUAGAGGGUGGUGGAAUUUCCUGUGUAGCGGUGAAAUGCGUAGAUAUAGGAAGGAACACCAGUGGCGAAGGCGACCACCUGGACUGAUACUGACACUGAGGUGCGAAAGCGUGGGGAGCAAACA